rnacentral:rRNA from 1 species
UACGGGGGGUGCGAGCGUUAUUCGGAAUUAUUGGGCGUAAAGGGCGCGCAGGCGGUUGAAUAAGUCAGGUGUGAAAACCCUUGGCUUAACCAAGGAAGUGCAUUUGAUACUAUUUGACUUGAGUAUGGGAGAGGGAAGUGGAAUUCCUGGUGUAGAGGUGAAAUUCGUAGAUAUCAGGAGGAACACCGGUGGCGAAAGAGACUUCCUGGACCAAUAUUGACGCUGAGGCGCGAAGGCGUGGGGAGCAAACAGG